UGGUUUGUUGCAGUUGAAACUCAAUUGUGCUGUGAAUUAUUUUCUCUCUCUCUCUCUCUUUCUCUCUGCACUAAAUGGCAGUGCCGUGGUUGGAUAGUGCAGAUUAAGGGGCGGUAUUAUUAUAAUAAGAUCUCCUUAUGACAUCAUAAGGAGAGCCAAAUUUCAAUGACCUAAUUUUUCACAUGCUUGCAGAGAAUGGUUUACCAAAACUAAGUUACUGUGUUGAUCUUUUACACAUUUUCUAGGUUGAUAGAAGCACUGGGGACCCAAUUAUAGCACUUAAACAUGAAAAAAGUCAAA